CAGCGCCGGGUGGCGGCCGCUCGGCCACGAGCUGCCCCUCGGCCGGGCCCGGGGGUGCCUUCGCCAGGCUCUGGGAGCCACUUCGGACUUGGAGGCUCCAGGCUUGGAGAAGGCCACGGCUCGGCUGCGAUGGGGAGCGAAGUCUCUGGCGGGGAAUGGUACCUGGGGGGCGGCUCCGCAGAGCCCCGCGCCCACUGAGGGAACGUGCUCGGGCCCCUCCGAGGCUUCCACAGCUAAGAGGAGCCACCAGUGUUGUGAGAAACAGAAAAUGGAGUUGUUGUCUGAAUUCCGUUAUCUUCUCAAGAAGAUACACUUAUUUAGAAAUAGUGACUCAAAGGGCAGCUGGAAAAGAAGGCAAGCAAUUCUGGCUUGAAGGAGUUCAGUCUAGCUAACUGAGUGGGAAGAACAAUGCUGAAGGAGGAAUUUUUUCCUAAGGAGAACUGAUCUUUGAACCUUAAGUAAGACUAAAUACAACUUUGAAGUAAAACCACAUAGACCUAUGAAACUUAAGGCCAGAGGUUUCAUUAGCUUAUAUUGUUCCAACUUCAACCAAGAUCAUUGCCUUUUAUUCUCACUCUUGCGUGUAAUCCAUUAAUACACUGCCACUGCAGACCCCAGCAGCCAAGGAGAUGUUCUGGACCCCGGAUCAGAUUAUUUUCUGAUUCUCUUCAUCCUCAGGUUGUUUUCUGUUCUUCAGCUGUGAUGACUUCAUCAUAGUCACUCAGAUGCUUCUACGUACUACAUAUGGGAGAAGCAACAUUUGCCCGUAAUUUGUUUAGAACUGUGUUAGAAAAAAGGGUUGUACUUACCCAAAGAAUAAAAGGAACAGGGGUAGUUCUGUUGUGAAUCAGUUAGCUUUGUCAUGUAAUAAUUACUGUAUUGUAACCUUAUAAUAAACUUUAGCCAUAGCAUUUGAUAAACAAAACUUGUAAAUUAUAUGCAUUCUAAAAUCUUUGGAAAAUGUGUUUAAGAAGAAUGAUGGUUCUAACCACUGGGAAAAAAAAAUCAAGUGAUCCAUACCAGCUGCACAUUUUUGCUGAGCCACUGAAGAGUCUCCCUGCAUGAAUCUUUGGUAGAGGCAGGAUUUUUAUCAUGUGUCAGUAUAUAAAUUCAAUAGAAUGAACAGCAUCUUUUUCUUUUUCUUUAGUAAAAUAUUUGACUAAU